rnacentral:rRNA from 1 species
GAUGAACGCUGGCGGCGUGCCUAAUACAUGCAAGUCGAGCGAACAGACGAGGAGCUUGCUCCUCUGACGUUAGCGGCGGACGGGUGAGUAACACGUGGAUAACCUACCUAUAAGACUGGGAUAACUUCGGGAAACCGGAGCUAAUACUGGAUAAUAUAUUGAACCGCAUGGUUCAAUAGUGAAAGACGGUUUUGCUGUCACUUAUAGAUGGAUCCGCGCCGCAUUAGCUAGUUGGUAAGGUAACGGCUUACCAAGGCGACGAUGCGUAGCCGACCUGAGAGGGUGAUCGGCUACACUGGAACUGAGACACGGUCCAGACUCCUACGGGAGGCAGCAGUAGGGAAUCUUCCGCAAUGGGCGAAAGCCUGACGGAGCAACGCCGCGUGAGUGAUGAAGGUCUUCGGAUCGUAAAACUCUGUUAUUAGGGAAGAACAAAUGUGUAAGUAACUAUGCACGUCUUGACGGUACCUAAUCAGAAAGCCACGGCUAACUACGUG